rnacentral:lncRNA from 1 species
AGGUUUCACUGUUCCUAGCUAAAAUUCCAGGCUCUGUUGCAUCUUGUUAUGUUAAUAUGACACAGUUCUGGCUAAUAACAUGGAGAUGUAAGUCCCUGAGAGAAGGCUUCCUUUCAGAAAUUUGUCUUCAGAAAUAAAAAAGGCAGACCCCUGUGAAGGGCAAAGAAGAAAACUUUUGCUCUCAGAGACUAGAAGCAUGACAGAAAGCUACCCUUAGGUGAUUUGGACUGGUUUGAAGUGCAUGAAACAACAAACAGGAUGCCUAAACAUCCUUUAUUACAAACAGCUAUGAGAAUUUUGAGGCCAAGGAUAUGAUUGCAACAUCCUGCAGGUUCCAGGAUGCCUGAAAACAUGUAUAUGUGACAAGUUCCCAGGGUAUUUCCGUGCCCAUUCGAUGCAUGACACAGUUCUGAAUGCCAACCUGGUAGAAUUAAAAGUACCAGCAUCAUUUCCCUCGAGCAGAAAAAAAUGCUGCUGGAAGCCUUACUAAGUCAAUAAAUGUUUCACUUUUGUUGCUUAGGCUGGAGUGCAAUGGCGCGAUCUCGACUCACUGCAACCUCCGCCUCCCAGGUUCAAGAGAUUCUCCUGCCUCAGCAUCCCGAGUAGCUGGGAUUACAGACAUGCACCACCACGCCCGGAUAAUUUUGUAUUUUUUAGUAGAGAUGUGGUUUCUCCAUGUUGGUCAGGCUGGCCUCUAACUCCCGACCUCAGGUGAUCCGCCCACCUCGGCCUUCCAAAGUCCUGGAAUUAACAGGCAUGAACCACCACGCCCAGCCUCAUGGUUUCAAUUUCUAUGGUUUAGUUACAUACAAUCAACCAAGCCUAAAAAUAUUAAAUAAAACUUUCCAGCAAUAAACAAUUCAUAACUUCUAAGUUGCAC